UAAAGUUGCUGCAGUUAAAAAGCUCGUAGUUGAAUUUCGGGGUUAGUAGGUUGGUCGUGCCACUGGUAUGUACUGGCUUUACUGAUUCCUCCUUCUUGAAGAACUGUAAUGUCAUUAAUUUGAUGUUGCAGGGAAACAGGACUGUUACUUUUAAAAAAUUAGAGUGUUUAAAGCAGGCUAACGCUAGAAUACAUUAGCAUGGAUAAAUGAAAUAGGACGUUUGAUCCUAUUUUGUUGGUUUCUAGGAUUGACGUAAUGAUUAAUAGGG
rnacentral:rRNA from 1 species